CACGUGUGGAACCGCUAUUUAUGGCAUUCAACUGCACCUGUACCUUAUUUUAGGCUCCUGUUGACAAACCUGUGGCUUCCCGGAGCCAUCCUGCUGCUCGCUACCACAUUCAUAAGCAUCUCCCACGUGUUUUCCGAGAGGCGCUGCACAGGAGACGGCGCAAGAAGCCACAGUGGUGGAUGGCUCUACUUCAUCCAAUGCCGUGUUCCCACUACCACUCACCUCACCAGCAAGGGGAUAAGCUCCCUUGCCUCCAACACGACCAGCCUGAACGGAAGGUCUUUACCUUAUGCUGCCGGGAGCGCAAGACCACAGUUUUGCAACCGCGAUUGUAACGGACUUUCGGAGGACUUGGGCUGCAAGUAGGGGCAUUGGUUAGGUGGCAUAUCAGUGUCUUUCACAGCUGGGAUGUUAAAACGCUGUUAUCAUGCCUGCUAUCUUUCAGUUGUUUCCUUCUACUACUGUGAUCUAUUCACUCACAAUACGUUUCCAGUGGAAUCUAUUUCUUGCAGUUAUCUACUUUACAGCGUGUUUAAGUAUAUUUUGUAUGAUACAUCUCAUUGCCUAACUUGUCUAGAACGCUCUUUGUUUCCCACCACACAGGACAGCCAUGUUCUUGGGAUUUGUGUCUCAGUGUUAUGUUUUGUUUGUAAUUUAUAUUUUUCUCAUGAUAUUGAUCAGAACACAUCUGGAUACACACUGAGAAUAUAUUAAUUUCAGCCUAUAA